rnacentral:lncRNA from 1 species
AUGUCCUCCAUCCCAGCUCCCAGGUUUAAGUCCUUGGAAGAUGUUAGUCCAGCAACACUAAAGAGCCCGUUUUAUUGGAAACUCAGUAAGACACGGAAAGCACAAAACACCUGGGAACUCCAUGACAAAGAUGGGAGCACCAGCAAACUAGGGGAGAAGUGGCACAGGAGGCAGCAGCAGACUCUGAUUUCCUGGAAUCUCAAGCAGAGGGGAGACUCAUGAUCCUCCAUGGUGAACAAGCAUCCUGAGUUGAGCAACUCCCCAUCAGCCCCAUUCCUCUCCCUGAAAUAACUAGAGAACAUGCUAAGUGGAACUCAAGAUAUCUCAGAAGAUACAGAAAGAACCAAGGUUAACAACUGGUAGUUACUGUGUCUCCAUUUACCCCCAACAGCUGAAGUUUGAGGAAACAUAAUUUUAUAAUCAAAAUCCAACCAUGAAGGAAACUUGGUCCCAUAAGAAAUCAAUAAUUGGACCAAGGAUUAAACUAAUUCAUCUAGCUCAUAACUCAUAAUGUGAUUUAUGGAAGGAAAGACUCAAAUUACAAACAAAGCACAUGAAAAAGGCAAACCCUUAAAUAUUUGUUCUACUGAUUAUGGCUUUAUGAUUUUUAUGGUACAUUGUGAGGACUACACACUCGUUAGUCCCUCAGGCAAAGUGUGAUCUCUGAUCUUCUGCAUGACUCCCAUACUCAGCUGAUAUGAUCUGAAGAAGGAACAUGGCUCUUCUUAUCCACUGCAAUCUUCACUUCUUCAGUCUUUCAGGGAUGUGGCUUAGGGCUUUCUGUUUGUUACUCCCAGCAAUGGAUACCAUCUUUUUAUAACUGUAAUUUGCAAGUCUGAUUAUUUUAAGAGUGAGACUAAAAUUUCUGGUUGAUAAUUAUAGUAAGUCAAUGUGUGUUAAUAACAGGACUCAGUGCAUCAAAUUUUUCUUCAUUAAAAAAAUGUAAGCAAUUAAACCUAAAUCACCCACAGAAGCUACAGGCUUGGUAGAUUAUUAUAGUAAAAUAGCUAAGAAUGAUAGUUAUUUUUUACUGAGCUUUCAGUAAGCACAAUACUCUGUACAAAAUACUUCAUUUAAUUCUCAUUAGAAGGUCAUGUUACAUCCAACUUAUAGAUAAGGAAAGUGAAAUUUUCAAUUUAUCAAACAACUUCCUCAGGUUACAAAGCAAAGUGAGAUUCAAAACUCAAUUUGUCUAAAUCCAUUUCUUUCUGAUUUCUGGCUUAUCUUCCUCAUUAAGGAAGAGAAACCAGUAUAGUUCAUCACAUUUGGGGACUCAAGUAUCCCAGACAUACAAUAUUUCAUCCUCAGGCCAAUUCCUUAGGAAAAUCAUUCCAUUUGCCAAGAGAAUAAUACAACAUUAAACUUGCUAGCAUUUUGGUUCACUCUCAGAUUCCAAGAUAAUUUUAUUAGAAGCACAAGGAAUGAAAUCCUGACUCACAAUAAAUAAUCCCAUCAAAUGUAGUUCUGUACUACCUUUGACCUUACUCUUUUGCCUUAAGUCACUGCCAAGACUAAUAUAGAUCUCAUAAUAUUCUCAGGCAUAGAAAACAAUCAUUGAAAUUCAUCUAAUUAUAAGAAGAAAAAGAAGUAAUUUUACAAUAUACAGAGCAUUUGUUUUCCAAAAUCUAAGCUAUCUCUUUUCCUUAAAGUAUCAUAUAAUAAUCCACAUGAUGAUUUUGCAUUUUCAGUGUGUGAAAUAGUUACCCUAGUAUUAUUCGCUACCUUCCCUUAUUACUCACUGCCAAAACAAAAGAUAAGCAUUUUACACAUUCAUUAUUACCUAAAUAUUCAAGAAUAAAACCAAGAAAUAAAGCACAAAAAAAUAGUAAUUUAAUUAAUAUAUGUUCUUUAUUUGGUGUUUGUCUGUAAUUCCAACAAUAACAUUGCCUUUCAUAUAACAAAUACCAAAUAAAUAUUUGUUGAGUGAAUGAAUGAAUGAAUGAAUGAAUGAAUGAAAUCUGGAUUACAACUAAUUGAAAUCUGUUGGCCUACUGCAAAAUUAUUUUGUCUGACCUACCCAGAAUCCAUUCACAUUACUCCAGUGAUAUAACAACUAUCUUGGUAUGUUACCUAUUCUCCAUUGUGUCUUCCUGAAACCAAUGGAUAAGCGUGAGGACUAAGCUGGUUAUCAGAAAUACUCCCAAGACUUUAAAUCUGGAGUACCUGGGAGAGCUGGAGUUCAUUCCUUUUAGUCGAGGUACCCUAACAAGAUAGUUAAAAUAAUCCUUGUUGACUAGACCCUUGAAAGUAUCCUGGUUCUUGUGUAAUUUUUAACCUUUUUCUGUUUAUUGUUUGUUUGUUUGUUUGUUUGUUUGUUUUGAGACGGAGUCUCGCUCUGUCGCCCAGGCUGGAGUGCAGUGGCGCGAUCUCGACUCACCGCAAACUCCGCCUCCCGGGUUCACGCUAUUCUCCUGCCUCAGCCUCCUGAGUAGCUGGGAGUACAGGCGCCCGCCACUACACGCAGCUAAUUUUUUUUAUUUUUGGUAGAGACGGGGUUUCACCGUGUUAGCCAGGAUGGUCUCAAUCUCCUGACCUCGUGAUCCGCCCGCCUCAGCCUCCCAUAGGGCUGGGAUUACAGGCAUGAGCCACCGCACCCGAUCGUUUCUUUCUUUUAAGAGACAGGGUCUCACUGUAUUGCCCAGACUGGAGUGCAGUGGCACAAUCACAGUUCACUGUAACCUCAAACCCCUAGGCUCAAGUGAUCCUCCCACCUCAGCUUCCCAAGUAGCUAAGACUAUAGGCACAUGCCACCACAUCCAGCUAAUUGUUUUUUAAUGUUUUCACAGAGAUGGGAUCUUGCUAUGUUGACCAGGCUGUUCUCAAACUCCUGGUCUCAAGGAAUCCUCCCAUCUCAGCCUCUUAUAAUGCAGAGAUUACAAGUGUGAGCCACAGCCGCUGGCCUGAACCUCUUUCUUUCACUUACCUGUGGGUUUGGUUAGUGCUCCAAUAUCAAUAUAAGGGUCUUUUUAGCUUAAGUUAUCCA